rnacentral:rRNA from 1 species
UGAGGAAUAUUGGUCAAUGGACGCAAGUCUGAACCAGCCAAGUAGCGUGCAGGAUGACGGCCCUAUGGGUUGUAAACUGCUUUUAUAUGGGGAUAAAGUGGGGAACGUGUUCCCUUUUGCAGGUACCAUAUGAAUAAGGACCGGCUAAUUCCGUGCCAGCAGCCGCGGUAAUACGGAAGGUUCGGGCGUUAUCCGGAUUUAUUGGGUUUAAAGGGAGCGUAGGCCGUUUGGUAAGCGUGUUGUGAAAUGUAGGAGCUCAACUUCUAGAUUGCAGCGCGAACUGUCAGACUUGAGUGCGCACAACGUAGGCGGAAUUCAUGGUGUAGCGGUGAAAUGCGUAGAUAUUGGGAGGAACACCAGUAGCGAAGGCGGCUUUCUGGACUGCAACUGACACUGAGGCACGAAAGCGUGGGUAGCAAACAGG